AGAGUUUGAUCAUGGCUCAGAUUGAACGCUGGCGGCAGGCCUAACACAUGCAAGUCGAACGGUAACAGGAAGCAGCUUGCUGCUUCGCUGACGAGUGGCGGACGGGUGAGUAAUGUCUGGGAAGCUGCCUGAUGGAGGGGGAUAACUACUGGAAACGGUAGCUAAUACCGCAUAAUGUCGCAAGACCAAAGAGGGGGACCUUCGGGCCUCUUGCCAUCGGAUGUGCCCAGAUGGGAUUAGCUUGUUGGUGGGGUAACGGCUCACCAAGGCGACGAUCCCUAGCUGGUCUGAGAGGAUGACCAGCCACACUGGAACUGAGACACGGUCCAGACUCCUACGGGAGGCAGCAGUGGGGAAUAUUGCACAAUGGGCGCAAGCCUGAUGCAGCCAUGCCGCGUGUAUGAAGAAGGCCUUCGGGUUGUAAAGUACUUUCAGCGGGGAGGAAGGGAGUAAAGUUAAUACCUUUGCUCAUUGACGUUACCCGCAGAAGAAGCACCGGCUAACUCCGUGCCAGCAGCCGCGGUAAUACGGAGGGUGCAAGCGUUAAUCGGAAUUACUGGGCGUAAAGCGCACGCAGGCGGUUUGUUAAGUCAGAUGUGAAAUCCCCGGGCUCAACCUGGGAACUGCAUCUGAUACUGGCAAGCUUGAGUCUCGUAGAGGGGGGUAGAAUUCCAGGUGUAGCGGUGAAAUGCGUAGAGAUCUGGAGGAAUACCGGUGGCGAAGGCGGCCCCCUGGACGAAGACUGACGCUCAGGUGCGAAAGCGUGGGGAGCAAACAGGAUUAGAUACCCUGGUAGUCCACGCCGUAAACGAUGUCGACUUGGAGGUUGUGCCCUUGAGGCGUGGCUUCCGGAGCUAACGCGUUAAGUCGACCGCCUGGGGAGUACGGCCGCAAGGUUAAAACUCAAAUGAAUUGACGGGGGCCCGCACAAGCGGUGGAGCAUGUGGUUUAAUUCGAUGCAACGCGAAGAACCUUACCUGGUCUUGACAUCCACGGAAGUUUUCAGAGAUGGGAAUGUGCCUUCGGGAACCGUGAGACAGGUGCUGCAUGGCUGUCGUCAGCUCGUGUUGUGAAAUGUUGGGUUAAGUCCCGCAACGAGCGCAACCCUUAUCCUUUGUUGCCAGCGGUCCGGCCGGGAACUCAAAGGAGACUGCCAGUGAUAAACUUGAGGAAGGUGGGGAUGACGUCAAGUCAUCAUGGCCCUUACGACCAGGGCUACACACGUGCUACAAUGGCGCAUACAAAGAGAAGCGACCUCGCGAGAGCAAGCGGACCUCAUAAAGUGCGUCGUAGUCCGGAUUGGAGUCUGCAACUCGACUCCAUGAAGUCGGAAUCGCUAGUAAUCGUGGAUCAGAAUGCCACGGUGAAUACGUUCCCGGGCCUUGUACACACCGCCCGUCACACCAUGGGAGUGGGUUGCAAAAGAAGUAGGUAGCUUAACCUUCGGGAGGGCGCUUACCACUUUGUGAUUCAUGACUGGGGUGAAGUCGGAACAAGGUAACCGUAGGGGAACCUGCGGUUG
rnacentral:rRNA from 1 species